rnacentral:tRNA from 1 species
GCCUGGGUGGCUCAGUCAGUUAAGCAGCCGACUUCAGCUCAGGUCAUGAUCUCGCAGUUUGUGAGUUCGAGCCCCGCCUCAGGCU